AAAAUCACACACACACACACACACACACACACACACAAUCACACCAAACAUAAAACUGGGAAGGCAAAACUCACUGGGUAAUUAGCAGAGAAACCUCACGGAGAGCAUGACAUUUUGUUGUUAGAUGAUUCACACGACGCACAUUAAGGGCUUGAAGUGGAAAAAUAUUAAACCACCGGGUCAGUCAGUCCUUCCACACUUGCUGCCAAUGUUUACUUCAGUUCCGGUAACACAGUAGACUUGGGUAUUUUUCUUUUCAGUAGAUUGAAGAAUAUGAAUAACAUCUGUGUGUGUGUUGAAUACUUGUGGAACAAAAGCUCAGAAAUGUGACACUAAAAUGAACAAGACUUGGAGGAGCGUGGCUGUUGGACAAUCUCAGUUUCCAACUCUUCUGAGAUUCAGCACAGAGAAGAAGCAGAGGCCAUGACCUGCCCCUCCUAAUUUUCAGAGAAUGGACAAGGCAUCUAGUGUAACAUCACACUCCUGGCUAUCAAGGCACAGAAAAAAGCUGCCCUAAGAAGGACACACAACACUUCUGAGAUAUUCCUGCCCAAAAUGCACAUCUUCAAUAUGAUCACGAGAAAACAUCAGACGAACUCAAACUGAGAGUCAUUCUACCAAACAAGUGACCUGUACUCGUCAAGAGUGGGAAGAUCAUGAAAGACCAAGAAUGUACGGCUGUCACGACUGGGGGAGGCCGAGAUGACACAGCAAAUGAAGGUCAUGGGGUU